UGAGGAAUAUUGGUCAAUGGACGGAAGUCUGAACCAGCCAAGUAGCGUGCAGGAUGACGGCCCUAUGGGUUGUAAACUGCUUUUGUAUGGGGAUAAAGUUAGGGACGUGUCCCUAUUUGCAGGUACCAUACGAAUAAGGACCGGCUAAUUCCGUGCCAGCAGCCGCGGUAAUUCGGAAGGUCCGGGCGUUAUCCGGAUUUAUUGGGUUUAAAGGGAGCGUAGGCCGCGUUUUAAGCGUGUUGUGAAAUGUAGACGCCCAACGUCUGCAUCGCAGCGCGAACUGGGACGCUUGAGUACGCGCAACGUUGGCGGAAUUCGUCGUGUAGCGGUGAAAUGCUUAGAUAUGACGAGGAACUCCGAUUGCGAAGGCAGCUGACGGGAGCGGCACUGACGCUUAAGCUCGAAGGUGCGGGUAUCAAACAGG
rnacentral:rRNA from 1 species